rnacentral:rRNA from 1 species
UACGGGGGGUGCGAGCGUUGUCCGGAAUCACUGGGCGUAAAGGGCGCGUAGGUGGUUUGAUAAGGGUGUGGUGAAAGUCCGGAGCUCAACUCCGGAUCUGCCGUGCCGACUGUCAAACUCGAGGGCUGUAGAGGCAGACGGAAUUCCGGGUGUAGCGGUGGAAUGCGUAGAGAUGUGGAGGAACACCAGUGGCGAAGGCGGCUUUCUGGUCUGUAACUGACGCUGAGGCGCGAAAGCGUGGGGAGCAAACAGG